rnacentral:sRNA from 1 species
UCUUCACUGCCCCUUCCUUUGCCCUUCC